UCACUCCAGGUCGCCAUGUUGA
rnacentral:siRNA from 1 species